UACGUAGGGUGCAAGCGUUGUCCGGAAUUAUUGGGCGUAAAGAGCUCGUAGGCGGUCUGUCGCGUCGGCUGUGAAAACCCGGAGCUCAACUCCGGGCCUGCAGUUGAUACGGGCAGACUGGAGUUCGGCAGGGGAGACUGGAAUUCCUGGUGUAGCGGUGAAAUGCGCAGAUAUCAGGAGGAACACCGGUGGCGAAGGCGGUUCUCUGGGCCUUACCUGACGCUGAGGAGCGAAAGCGUGGGGAGCGAACAGG
rnacentral:rRNA from 1 species